AGUGAACUUCGUUUGAAGUGAAAAUCCUUUAUUGUGCGGCGUAGCGAAACAAUAAAGAUUGGAACGGAAAGCGCGGGCCAGG
rnacentral:sRNA from 1 species